rnacentral:rRNA from 1 species
UACGGAGGGUGCAAGCGUUAUCCGGAUUCACUGGGUUUAAAGGGUGCGUAGGCGGCCAACUAAGUCACACGUGAAAUCCCCAGGCUUAACCUGGGAACUGCGUGUGAUACUGGAUGGCUUGAAUUCGGGAGAGGGAUGCAGAAUUCCAGGUGUAGCGGUGAAAUGCGUAGAUAUCUGGAGGAAUACCGGUGGCGAAGGCGGCAUCCUGGCCCGAUACUGACGCUGAGGCACGAAAGCGUGGGGAGCAAACAGG